rnacentral:rRNA from 1 species
AUGCAGUCGAGCGGACCGACGGGAGCUUGCUCCCUUAGGUCAGCGGCGGACGGGUGAGUAACACGUGGGUAACCUGCCUGUAAGACUGGGAUAACUCCGGGAAACCGGGGCUAAUACCGGAUGCUUGAUUGAACCGCAUGGUUCAAUCAUAAAAGGCGGCUUCGGCUGCCGUUUACAGAUGGACCCGCGGCGCAUUAGCUAGUUGGUGAGGUAACGGCUCACCAAGGCGACGAUGCGUAGCCGACCUGAGAGGGUGAUCGGCCACACUGGGACUGAGACACGGCCCAGACUCCUACGGGAGGCAGCAGUAGGGAAUCUUCCGCAAUGGACGAAAGUCUGACGGAGCAACGCCGCGUGAGUGAUGAAGGUUUUCGGAUCGUAAAGCUCUGUUGUUAGGGAAGAACAAGUACCGUUCGAAUAGGGCGGUACCUUGACGGUACCUAACCAGAAAGCCACGGCUAACUACGUGCCAGCAGCCGCGGUAAUACGUAGGUGGCAAGCGUUGUCCGGAAUUAUUGGGCGUAAAGCGCGCGCAGGCGGUUUCUUAAGUCUGAUGUGAAAGCCCCCGGCUCAACCGGGGAGGGUCAUUGGAAACUGGGGAACUUGAGUGCAGAAGAGGAGAGUGGAAUUCCACGUGUAGCGGUGAAAUGCGUAGAGAUGUGGAGGAACACCAGUGGCGAAGGCGACUCUCUGGUCUGUAACUGACGCUGAGGCGCGAAAGCGUGGGGAGCGAACAGGAUUAGAUACCCUGGUAGUCCACGCCGUAAACGAUGAGUGCUAAGUGUUAGAGGGUUUCCGCCCUUUAGUGCUGCAGCAAACGCAUUAAGCACUCCGCCUGGGGAGUACGGUCGCAAGACUGAAACUCAAAGGAAUUGACGGGGGCCCGCACAAGCGGUGGAGCAUGUGGUUUAAUUCGAAGCAACGCGAAGAACCUUACCAGGUCUUGACAUCCUCUGACACCCCUAGAGAUAGGGCUUCCUCUUCGGGGGCAGAGUGACAGGUGGUGCAUGGUUGUCGUCAGCUCGUGUCGUGAGAAUGUUGGGUUAAGUCCCGCAACGAGCGCAACCCUUGAUCUUAGUGCCAGCAUUCAGUGGGCACUCUAAGUGACUGCCGUGACAACCGGAGAGGUGGGGAUGACGUCAAUCAUCAUGCCCUAUGACUG